rnacentral:rRNA from 1 species
UUCCGUAGGUGAACCUGCGGAAGGAUCAUUAUCGUUCCUUCACCCGCACCAUGUGUAUUCUACACGUUUCUCUCUUUCCUUGGUCCGGUCUCCGACCGCGGCCUCGGAUCGACACCCCGCUCCGGCGGAUCCAUGGCUCCGGGUCGUCUUCUUUCGAGAAGAUUGAUUCGUUGCCUCCCCCGAGUCGACGGCUUCGGUCUCGUCUCACUUGUGACUUAACAAAUCACACAACUCUUGUCGAUGGAUAUCUUGGCAUGAGCAACGAUGAAGAACGCAGCGAAAUGCGAUACGUAGUGCGAAUUGCAGAAAUCAGUGAAUCAUCGAAACUUUGAACGCAAAUGGCGCUUCCGCCUCGGCGGAAGCAUACUUCCUCCAGUGGCGCCACCACCCCCCUCGGGCGCGCCCCGCGCGCUCGGAUCGUGGCCGCUGCCCUGGCUUCGGCUGGGGCGCCGGCUCAAGUGGCGACCGCGAGCGAGAUUCGCGUGUCAGGCUCGGUCCUUUUGGAUCGGGUUUGAGCCGAUGUGCUAAUGAGAUCCUCUCUUUUCCAUCGGUCGUAGCGUGUGAUUUCGUGCGGUCGAGUCGGGCCGUUCCCGAUUCGGACGAUCUACUAUCUAAGAUACCGCCAUGGAGUGACGUAAGGCUACCCGCUCUUUAAGGCAUAUCAAUAAGCGGAGG